rnacentral:rRNA from 1 species
UCCUACGGGAGGCAGCAGUGGGGAAUUUUGGACAAUGGGCGCAAGCCUGAUCCAGCCAUUCCGCGUGAGUGAAGAAGGCCUUCGGGUUGUAAAGCUCUUUCGCAAGGGAAGAAAACUUACCUUCUAAUAAAGGGUGAGGUUGACGGUACCUUGAUAAGAAGCACCGGCUAACUACGUGCCAGCAGCCGCGGUAAUACGUAGGGUGCGAGCGUUAAUCGGAAUUACUGGGCGUAAAGCGCGCGCAGGCGGUUUUGUAAGUCAGAUGUGAAAUCCCCGGGCUCAACCUGGGAACUGCGUUUGAAACUACAAGACUAGAAUAUGUCAGAGGGGGGUAGAACUCCACGUGUAGCAGUGAAAUGCGUAGAGAUGUGGAGGAAUACCAAUGGCGAAGGCAGCCCCCUGGGAUAAUAUUGACGCUCAUGCACGAAAGCGUGGGGAGCAAACAGGAUUAGAUACCCUUGUAGUCG